GUAGACAGCCAUACCGACUGCAGUUCAGAUUAGCUAAUCCACCUGAAGAUAAGCAGGUUUGGGCCAGACCAGUACUUGGAUGGGAGACCAACUAGGAAAGCUGGGUUGCUGCUGGA
rnacentral:rRNA from 1 species